GGGCUGGUAGCUCAGUGGCAGAGCAGUGGAUUGCAAUGAUUGGAUCCUCCAAAGGAUUACAAGACUUGGAAUCUCCAAAGGUCGCUGGUUCAAUCCCGGCUCAGCCCU